UGGUGAAUUUUGGACAAUGGGCGAAAGCCUGAUCCAGCAAUGCCGCGUGUGUGAAGAAGGCCCUUCGGGUUGUAAAGCACUUUUGUCCGGAAAGAAAUCCUUGGCUCUAAUACAGUCGGGGGGAUGACGGUACCGGAAGAAUAAGCACCGGCUAACUACGUGCCAGCAGCCGCGGUAAUACGUAGGGUGCAAGCGUUAAUCGGAAUUACUGGGCGUAAAGCGUGCGCAGGCGGUUUGCUAAGACCGAUGUGAAAUCCCCGGGCUCAACCUGGGAACUGCAUUUGGGUGACUGGCAGGCUAGAGUAUGGCAGAGGGGGGUUAGAAUUCCACGUGUAGCAGUGAAAUGCGUAGAGAUGGUGGAGGAAUACCGAUGGCGAAUGCAGCCCCCUGGGCCAAAUACUGACGCUCAUGCACGAAAGCGU
rnacentral:rRNA from 1 species